rnacentral:rRNA from 1 species
AUUGAACGCUGGCGGCAGGCCUAACACAUGCAAGUCGAGCGGAUGAAGGGAGCUUGCUCCUGGAUUCAGCGGCGGACGGGUGAGUAAUGCCUAGGAAUCUGCCUGGUAGUGGGGGAUAACGUCCGGAAACGGGCGCUAAUACCGCAUACGUCCUGAGGGAGAAAGUGGGGGAUCUUCGGACCUCACGCUAUCAGAUGAGCCUAGGUCGGAUUAGCUAGUUGGUGGGGUAAAGGCCUACCAAGGCGACGAUCCGUAACUGGUCUGAGAGGAUGAUCAGUCACACUGGAACUGAGACACGGUCCAGACUCCUACGGGAGGCAGCAGUGGGGAAUAUUGGACAAUGGGCGAAAGCCUGAUCCAGCCAUGCCGCGUGUGUGAAGAAGGUCUUCGGAUUGUAAAGCACUUUAAGUUGGGAGGUAGGGCAGUGAGUUAAUACCUUGCUGUUUUGACGUUACCAACAGAAUAAGCACCGGCUAACUUCGUG